GACGAACGCUGGCGGCGUGCUUAACACAUGCAAGUCGAACGGAAAGGCCCUGCUUGCAGGGUCCUCGAGUGGCGAACGGGUGAGUAACACGUGGGUGAUCUGCCCUGCACUUCGGGAUAAGCCUGGGAAACUGGGUCUAAUACCGGAAAGGAGCCAUUUUUAGUGUGAUGGUUGGAAAGUUUUUUCGGUGUAGGAUGAGCUCGCGGCCUAUCAGCUUGUUGGUGGGGUAAUGGCCUACCAAGGCGGCGACGGGUAGCCGGCCUGAGAGGGUGGACGGCCACAUUGGGACUGAGAUACGGCCCAGACUCCUACGGGAGGCAGCAGUGGGGAAUAUUGCACAAGGGGCGCAAGCCUGAUGCAGCGACGCCGCGGGGGGGAUGACGGCCUGCGGGUUGUAAACUCCUUUCGCUAGGGACGAAGCUUUUUGUGACGGUACCUAGAUAAGAAGCACCGGCUAACUACGUG
rnacentral:rRNA from 1 species